rnacentral:snoRNA from 1 species
UAGCCAUGAUGUGGGCAGGAUAGUUGGAGUUCUUUAAAUCUUUCCCAACACUGAAAAAAAGUUUCAUUUUCUUUUUGUGAAAAAUUCACGAUAUUUCUUCUGAGGGU